rnacentral:rRNA from 1 species
CAUAGCGACUAUCGUGGCAUAUCAAUAAGCGGAGGAAAAGAAACUAACAAGGAUUCCCUUAGUAACGGCGAGUGAAGCGGGAAGAGCUCAAAUUUGAAAUCUUCAAGGUUUUACCUUGACGAAUUGUAGUUUAUAGAAGUGUUUUCUGUUAGUGGAGUGGCAAAAGUUCUUUGGAAUAGGACAUCAUAGAGGGUGAGAAUCCCGUAUUUGACCAUUAUUUUCAGCUGUGUGAUACACUUUCAAAGAGUCGGAUUGUUUGGGAAUGCAGUCCAAAAUGGGUGGUAAAUUUCAUCUAAAGCUAAAUAUUGGCGAGAGACCGAUAGCGAACAAGUACCGUGAGGGAAAGAUGAAAAGAACUUUGAAAAGAGAGUUAAACAGUACGUGAAAUUGUCAAAAGGGAAGCGUUUGACACCAGUGUUGUUUUUCCGAAAAUCAAUUACGAAUGUUUUAUUUUUGAGAAGUUAUGACUUCAUCGGUCUUGCUUCUCUCUUUACGAAACUUUCUUAAUGCACUUUUCGGUUAACAAGUCAACAUCAAUUUCUCUUGUUGUAAAAGGGUAUGAGGAAGGUGGCUUUCUUUUCGGAGAAAGUGUUUAUAGCCUUUGAUCUCUGCAACCGGAGAGACUGAGGUCUGCAGCGUAGACUCUUCGGGGUUAGAUACAUUUGUGCUAAGCUAUAGCUUUUUAUAGACAACUUGUUGACUAUAUUUAGUCUUGUGGCUUACUCGCUUAUGCUAUUUUACCUACGCUUAGGAUGUUGAUAGUCACAGCGUGUAC